GAUGAACGCUGGCGGCGUGCCUAAUACAUGCAAGUCGAGCGAACAGACGAGGAGCUUGCUCCUCUGACGUUAGCGGCGGACGGGUGAGUAACACGUGGAUAACCUACCUAUAAGACUGGGAUAACUUCGGGAAACCGGAGCUAAUACCGGAUAAUAUAUUGAACCGCAUGGUUCAAUAGUGAAAGACGGUUUUGCUGUCACUUAUAGAUGGAUCCGCGCCGCAUUGGCUAGUUGGUAAGGUAACGGCUUACCAAGGCAACGAUGCGUAGCCGACCUGAGAGAGUGAUCGGCCACACGGGAACUGAGACACGGUCCAGACUCCUACGGGAGGCAGCAGUAGGGAAUCUUCCGCAAUGGGCGAAAGCUUGACGGAGCAACGCCGCGUGAGUGAUGAAGGUCUUCGGAUCGUAAAACUCUGUUAUUAGGGAAGAACAAAUGUGUAAGUAACUAUGCACGUCUUGACGGUACCUAAUCAGAAAGCCACGGCUAACUACGUG
rnacentral:rRNA from 1 species